UACGUAGGGGGCAAGCGUUGUCCGGAUUUACUGGGCGUAAAGAGCUCGUAGGUGGUUUGUCGCGUUGUUCGUGAAAACUCACAGCUCAACUGUGGGCGUGCGGGCGAUACGGGCAGACUAGAGUACUGCAGGGGAGACUGGAAUUCCUGGUGUAGCGGUGGAAUGCGCAGAUAUCAGGAGGAACACCAGUGGCGAAGGCGGCUCACUGGCCCGGUACUGACACUGAGGUGCGAAAGCGUGGGGAGCAAACAGG
rnacentral:rRNA from 1 species